rnacentral:sRNA from 1 species
GUAAAUGAUUACCUUCCCAUAGCUUUUAUAUAUAGAUGUAGGACUCUUCAUAUACAAUGGUUAUACGUAUAUUCUAUUGGUGCUUUCAUCUAAAGAAAGAAGUCCCACGUAUGUUUAUUACGUUGAAACAAUAAUGCAUUAAUCAAGAAUUAGAAAGGCACAUAUACUGUUUUGCAUAAAUUGUAAAAUAUUGUAUUGGGCUGAGUUGCAAAAACUUGUGUUCGAACUUAUUGUAUAUCAAUAUACAAUGAAUAUGUUCAACCGGAAAGGCAAAGAUUACAUUUGUUAUUACAUGUAACACAGUUUUAGGCAGUUUUUCUCAGCACUAGAUUUAUACAAUAAAUGAAAGUAAUUUGUACUAUUAAACACUGCAAAUACUUUGUAUUAUUUGACAAACCCAUACAUUGUCUCAAUUUUAGUCGGUGUCUCAAGAUAGCAGUACAGUCAAUCAAAACAGUUGUAAAUACAUGUACAUGUAUUUAGUAAUAUAUAUAUUUUGAAUCUAUUACAAACUUGAAAGUAAACAUGCAAUGGAUCGUGGAAAUGUGUGUUUUCCCGAACCUUAAAUGUAUUAAUUAAUAUGUCGUUAAGGAGAAAAUCAAAUAUAGUCUUAAUAUUAUUACAUGAUCAUAUGUGUGCUGAAUUUUCAAGUUAUAUCUCAAUGUGAGUAUACUAUUAUGUAUACUAUUGGUUGAUUUUUUUUUUUACAGGUAUAUACACUACUUAUUAUAUUUUUAUGAAUUUAUUUUUGAAUAAAGUAUAUAGAAAUG